UACAGAGGUCUCAAGCGUUGUUCGGAUUCAUUGGGCGUAAAGGGUGUGUAGGUGGCGCGCUAAGUCGGGUGUGAAAUUUCGGAGCUUAACUCCGAAACUGCAUUCGAUACUGGCCGUGCUUGAGGACUGGAGAGGAGACUGGAAUUUACGGUGUAGCGGUGAAAUGCGUAGAUAUCGUAAGGAAGACCAGUGGCGAAGGCGGGUCUCUGGACAGUUCCUGACGCUGAGGCACGAAGGCCAGGGAGCAAACGGG
rnacentral:rRNA from 1 species